rnacentral:rRNA from 1 species
AUGAGCCGCCUCCGCCGCUCGCCGGCGCCCCCGAUGGACGACGACGACCUCCUCGGGGAGAUCCUGCUCCGCCUGCCCCCGCAGCCGUCGGCGCUCCCUCGUGCCUCCCUCGUUUGCAAGCGUUGGCGCCGCCUCGUCGCCGACCCCGCGUUCCUCCGCCGCUUCCGCGCCCACCACCGGAGGCCUCCCGUCCUCGGCUUCUUCUCCACCUUAGGGAACCCCACCUUCACCCCCGCGCUCGACCCGCCGGACCGUAUCCCCUCCGCGCGCUUCUCCCUGCGGCUCGAGGAAGGCGACCACUUCCAGUUCCUCGGCUGCCGCCAUGGCCGCGCCCUCGCCGUCAACACGCAUCCGCGGCCCUUCCUCCUGCUGUGGGACCCCGUCACCGGCGACCAGACCCGUCUGGCCGUCCCACCGGAGCUCUACGGCGACGGGACCGUCAUCUUGACCGGGGCGCUGCUUUGCUCUGCCGGCGACCAGGGACACGCGCACGGCGAUUGUCGUCGCUCCGGCCAUUUCCAAGUGGCUCUGAUAGCCACUGUCAAAAGAAGCCAUUCUCAUCUUUUCGCAACCGUUUACUCGUCGGCGACCAGCGAAUGGGGCGAAAUUAUCUCAAUGCCGUUCAUACAUUCCAGGAUCAAGCCAUCUACAGCUAUGAAAUAUUUUCAACCUGUCCUCACUCCCACUAUCUUGAUUGGGAAUUCACUCUAUUGGUCGUAUGUUCUUGGCGGAGCUUGCAUAAUUGAGUUUGAUUUGGACACGCAGAGGCUGGCAUUGAUAGAGCCGCCACCGGAUGCAUAUGCCCACGAUGAUACAGUUUUCGCCGUUAUGCCGGCUGAAGAUGGUGGCCUUGGCUUAAUCGUUGUGUCGGGCUUCCGUGCCCAACUAUGGAAGUGGGAAGCGGGUGUUCGUCAUGACGAUGCGACAUGGGUUCUGGGAAGGAUCGUUGAACUAGACAAGCUUCUUCCUCUAGGAGCAGCAGGCAAGAGGAAGCCUGUAGCCUUAGUGGGAUUCGACGAGGAAAACAAUGUGACCCUUGUAAGGACAUCUUGUGGCAUCUUCAUGGUCCAUCUCCAGUCAAUGACGUUCAAGAGACUAUGCAACAGUGGCAGCGCAAGGGAUAUCCAUAUCUACAAUGCAUUCUCAAGUUUCUAUGAUGCAGGUACUUGCUUUGAGCCCUUAACUUUCUACAGAUAG